AGCAGCCGCGGUAAUUCCAGCUCCAAUAGCGUAUAUUAAAGUUGUUGCAGUUAAAAAGCUCGUAGUUGAAUUUCGGGGUUUAUCCGUCGGUCGGGCUUUUGGGUCUGUACUGGCGUGAUGGAUUCCUACCUUCUGAAUAACCGGCAUGCCAUUAAUUUGGUGCGCCGGGGAAGCAGGACUGUUACCUUGAAAAAAUUAGAGUGCUUAAAGCAGGCUAUUGCCUGAAUACAUUAGCAUGGAAUAAUGAAAUAGGACGGCAUGGUUCUAUUUUGUUGGUUUCUAGGAUCACCGUAAUGAUUAAUAGGGAUAGUUGGGGGCAUUAGUAUUCAAUUGUCAGAGGUGAAAUUCUUGGAUUUAUUGAAGACUAACUUCUGCAAAAUGCAUUUUGCCAAGGAUGUUUUCAUUAAUCAAGAACGAAAGUUAGGGGAUCGAAGACGAUCAGAUACCGUCGUAGUCUUAACCAUAAACUAUGCCGACUAGGGAUCAGAUGAUGUUAAUUUUUUCAAUGACUCGUUCGGCG
rnacentral:rRNA from 1 species